CUACGGGGUGCUCCAGUGAGGAAUAUUGCACAAUGGGGGAAACCCUGAUGCAGCAACGCCGCGUGGAGGAUGACGCAUUUCGGUGUGUAAACUCCUUUUAUGAGUCAAGAAAAUGACGGUAGCUCAUGAAUAAGCACCGGCUAACUCCGUGCCAGCAGCCGCGGUAAUACGGAGGGUGCAAGCGCUACUCGGAAUCACUGGGCGUAAAGGACGCGUAGGCGGGAUGUCAAGUCAGGUGUGAAAUCCUAUGGCUCAACCAUAGAACUGCACUUGAAACUGGCAACCUAGAGUAUGGGAGGGGGAGAUGGAAUUAGUGGUGUAGGGGUAAAAUCCGUAGAUAUCACUAGGAAUACCGAAAGCGAAGGCGAUCUCCUGGAACAUUACUGACGCUAAGGCGUGAAAGCGUGGGGAGCAAACAGGAUUAGAUACCCCGGUAGUC
rnacentral:rRNA from 1 species